AUUGAACGCUGGCGGAAUGCUUUACACAUGCAAGUCGAACGGUAGAGGGGGCAACCCCUUGAGAGUGGCGAACGGGUGAGUAAUAUAUCGGAACGUGCCCAGUCGUGGGGGAUAACGUAGCGAAAGUUACGCUAAUACCGCAUACGAUCUAAGGAUGAAAGCGGGGGGACUCGCAAGAGCCUCGCGCGAUUGGAGCGGCCGAUAUCAGAUUAGGUAGUUGGUGGGGUAAAGGCUCACCAAGCCAACGAUCUGUAGCUGGUCUGAGAGGACGACCAGCCACACUGGAACUGAGACACGGUCCAGACUCCUACGGGAGGCAGCAGUGGGGAAUUUUGGACAAUGGACGCAAGUCUGAUCCAGCCAUUCCGCGUGCAGGAUGAAGGCCCUCGGGUUGUAAACUGCUUUUGACGGACGAAAGGUUUCUAUUAAUACUAGGAGCUCAUGACGGUACCGUAAGAAUAAGCACCGGCUAAC
rnacentral:rRNA from 1 species